rnacentral:misc_RNA from 1 species
CCAAUAGCGUAUAUUAAAGUUGUUGCAGUUAAAAAGCUCGUAGUUGAAUUUUGGAUUCUACCAGUCGGUCCAUCUUUUGAUGAGUACUGGUUGUGUGGGGUCUAUCCGCCUGGUAAUACGUAAUGUCCUUUAUUGGAUGUUGCGGGUAGUCAGGACCUUUACCUUGAAAAAAUUAGAGUGUUUAAAGCAGGCUUAUGCCGGAAUACAUUAGCAUGGAAUAAUAGAAUAGGACGAAGUUGUUUUAUUUUGUUGGUUUCUAGGACAACCGUAAUGAUUAAUAGGGAUAGUUGGGGGCAUUAGUAUUCAAUUGUCAGAGGUGAAAUUCUUGGAUUUAUUGAAGACUAACUAUUGCGAAAGCAUUUGCCAAGGAUGUUUUCAUUAAUCAAGAACGAAAGUUAGGGGAUCGAAGACGAUCAGAUACCGUCGUAGUCUUAACCAUAAACUAUGCCGACUAGGGAUCGGGCGAUGUUGUUUCAAUGACUCGCUCGGCACCUUAUG